rnacentral:lncRNA from 1 species
ACCUUAGUCCUACGCAAUUAGUGUCUCUAAUUCAAAAUAAAGUCUGAAAACCAUGGGCUAGAGAAUUCAGUGUUCACGAUAUCUAAAAAUCCAUACAUGUGUACGUCCCUGAACCUUAGAGGUCAUUGAGCUAACAGUAUUUUUUUUUUUACUUUUAAUAGGAUUGAAAUUAUGUUUUACACUAUAUCACAGAUAUAGGCUGUCCCCACUGUAAUGGUCACCGUUACAGCAAAGGUGCCCUUUCUCCCACUGCUGGCG